AGAGGCAGAAGUUUGCGCCGUACUAAAGGAGGCGGAGCUAGCGAGGUAGCUUCCGGAAGGUCUUUUCCUUUGUUUUGAUGGACGGGCGCGUUUAUUGCCCUUCGGUUCCCCUCUUCCCUUCCUACUCUCUCACUUCUCUCCCCUCGGCCGCCGCGUCGGCUUUUCCUCCUCGACUUAACGCCGUCAAAGUGGGCGGAUCGGAACCAGAUUGAAGGCGUGGCUCGAUGGCAGGCGGGGUCUGAGGCGUGACCGCGGCGGGUCGCUCGGGGUCAGAACCUCGUCCGGGCUCGUCGCCUUAAGAGAACGAAGAGACUGUGGCAACCCGCUCAGAGGCCGCCGCUAGGAGCGGCCGUUGUUACAGACGGCGUCCGUCCGGCUCCGCCCAAACGUCCCGCCUCAUUGAACCUCCACAGUCGGCUCGCUAGUCAUUUGUGGGCCGGUUUUCUGACUCCGCUGAGAUGCUAAUUGGACGGUAGCGCGUCCCCUUGUAAUGAACCCGUCCGGUCGUCCAAUAAUCCCACUUUGAUGGCUUUUGGUCCCUCGUAGCUCCGCCCCUUACGGGCGAGCCCAUGUUUAGGGGUCAUUUGGGCCACAAAGCCUGUGAAAGCCAUACAGACUAUUUAGCUUCUGCCUCCUUUCCCAUCUCCUGCUCCCCUUUACUCUGUUGUAUACUCUCGUAUUUAUUGACUCAUAUGAAGUAUUUACAUCACUGGUCACUAACACUGAGCUUCUCCUUCUACAUGACGACCUUCUGCUUCCUGUCGGAUCUUUUCUUUGAUGGUUUUUUAAAACAUACAACAGAUUUAAGUCUGUUGCUGUUUUCUUCUCAUUUGAAAUGUGUUGUUUAAAUUAUUUUUUAACUUAUUCAGAGAAGUUUUACGUUUAGAGUUUUAGAAAACAAAAGAUCCUUUUCCCAACGUGGCUGCAAGGUAAAUACCUUCUUUUUUAUAGUUGUUCACGGAACAUUUAUGCUGAUAACCAGAUGUUUUGUUGGAUAGAAGAGUAGUGUUUUCACUUGUGAGCUCACACACACACACACACACACACACACACACACUCACACACACACACACACACACACACACACACACACACACACACACACACACACACACACCUUUCAGAUAGAAACAUCUGGAAUGGUUCAUUUGAUGGAAAAUAAAAACACAGCUGGCUCUGUGAUGUACAGUCGUGGGGAAUUUCACCUUUUCAGUCUUUAGGUUUCUUUUUUGCCUCCAGAGCACAGUUCAUAGUACAAUCACGGUGUAUAAAAACCUCAAUGUGUGUGUGUGUGUGUCAUAGAUACACACACACACACACACACAUCAAUAUAAA